GACGAACGCUGGCGGCGUGCCUAAUACAUGCAAGUGGGACGCAAGGAAACACACUGUGCUUGCACACCGUGUUUUCUUGAGUCGCGAACGGGUGAGUAACGCGUAGGUAACCUGCCUAUUAGCGGGGGAUAACUAUUGGAAACGAUAGCUAAUACCGCAUAAUAUUAAUUAUUGCAUGAUAAUUGAUUGAAAGAUGCAGGCGCAUCACUAGUAGAUGGACCUGCGUUGUAUUAGCUAGUUGGUAAGGUAAGAGCUUACCAAGGCGACGAUACAUAGCCGACCUGGGAGGGGGGUCGGCCACACUGGGACUGGGACACGGCCCAGGCUCCUACGGGAGGCAGCAGUAGGGAAUCUUCGGCAAUGGACGAAAGUCUGACCGAGCAACGCCGCGUGAGUGAAGAAGGUUUUCGGAUCGUAAAGCUCUGUUGUAAGUCAAGAACGUGUGUGAGAGUGGAAAGUUCACACAGUGACGGUAGCUUACCAGAAAGGGACGGCUAACUACGUG
rnacentral:rRNA from 1 species